AUUGAACGCUGGCGGCAUGCCUUACACAUGCAAGUCGAACGGCAGCACGGGAGCAAUCCUGGUGGCGAGUGGCGAACGGGUGAGUAAUACAUCGGAACGUGCCCAGUAGUGGGGGAUAACUGCUCGAAAGAGCAGCUAAUACCGCAUACGACCUGAGGGUGAAAGCGGGGGAUCGCAAGACCUCGCGCUAUUGGAGCGGCCGAUGUCAGAUUAGCUAGUUGGUGGGGUAAAGGCCUACCAAGGCAACGAUCUGUAGUUGGUCUGAGAGGACGACCAGCCACACUGGGACUGAGACACGGCCCAGACUCCUACGGGAGGCAGCAGUGGGGAAUCUUGCGCAAUGGGGGAAACCCUGACGCAGCAACGCCGCGUGGGUGAUGAAGGCCCUUGGGUCGUAAAGCCCUGUCUGGAGGAAAGAAUCCCGCUCUCGCUAAUACCGGGAGUGGAUGACGGUACCUCUGAAGGAAGCACCGGCUAACUCCGUG
rnacentral:rRNA from 1 species